ensembl:lncRNA
GAAACCCUUACCGUGUCAAGGAAAACAGGGCAGAAUCCAAAAAAGGAAAAAAAGGAAAAGAAAAAAUUGUGCUUUUUGAGGUAGAACUCAGAAAAGAUAGGCGGGUUUAGCGCUGUGCUGCCCAGUGGGAGCUCUGUAAACAAGUACAGGAAGGGAAGGUCUGCGAGGUGUAAGUGAAGUGCGUUGUCCUACGAGGGGAUAAUUCUUCUUCCCGUGUCUGCAGCAUUUCUUCAGGUGAAUCAGCUUUCCUUCCCUCGGAGUGACCUCAAGGCAGAAUGAUUGGCAAGCCCAGUUGGACUCGCUCUCGAAAGAGGGGAGGAGCCAACCAUAUUUAAUGCUGUCCUUGGCAGCCAGCACCAUAGUGUGUUGACAAUACGAGGAGAAGAGAGACAGAGAGAGCAAGAGAGAGAGAGAGAGUGCGAGCUCACAGUGCUCAGACUGUGACUCCCAGAAGCGGAUGAGCUUGUUUGGCGAGCGGUGGUGGAAGGAAGAACAGAUCCCAUGGAGUAACAAUUUGCAAAACCAGAGGCCAAAGCAGGACUGAAUCCUACAAGGGAG